CACGUAGGGGGCGAGCGUUGUCCGGAUUUAUUGGGCGUAAAGAGCUCGUAGGCCGCUUGGUAAGUCGGGUGUGAAAUUCAGAGGCUUAACCUCUGAACGCCACUCGAUACUGCCAUGGCUAGAGUACGGUAGAGGAGCGUGGAAUUUCUGGUGUAGCGGUGGAAUGCGCAGAUAUCAGAAGGAACACCAACGGCGAAGGCAGCGCUCUGGGCCGAUACUGACGCUGAGGAGCGAAAGCAUGGGGAGCAAACAGG
rnacentral:rRNA from 1 species